ACGCUGGCGGCGUGCCUAAUACAUGCAAGUCGAACGCACAGCGAAAGGUGCUUGCACCUUUCAAGUGAGUGGCGAACGGGUGAGUAACACGUGGACAACCUGCCUCAAGGCUGGGGAUAACAUUUGGAAACAGAUGCUAAUACCGAAUAAAACUUAGUGUCGCAUGACACAAAGUUAAAAGGCGCUUCGGCGUCACCUAGAGAUGGAUCCGCGGUGCAUUAGUUAGUUGGUGGGGUAAAGGCCUACCAAGACAAUGAUGCAUAGCCGAGUUGAGAGACUGAUCGGCCACAUUGGGACUGAGACACGGCCCAAACUCCUACGGGAGGCUGCAGUAGGGAAUCUUCCACAAUGGGCGAAAGCCUGAUGGAGCAACGCCGCGUGUGUGAUGAAGGCUUUCGGGUCGUAAAGCACUGUUGUAUGGGAAGAACAGCUAGAAUAGGAAAUGAUUUUAGUUUGACGGUACCAUACCAGAAAGGGACGGCUAAAUACGUGCCAGCAGCCGCGGUAAUACGUAUGUCCCGAGCGUUAUCCGGAUUUAUUGGGCGUAAAGCGAGCGCAGACGGUUUAUUAAGUCUGAUGUGAAAGCCCGGAGCUCAACUCCGGAAUGGCAUUGGAAACUGGUUAACUUGAGUGCAGUAGAGGUAAGUGGAACUCCAUGUGUAGCGGUGAAAUGCGUAGAUAUAGGAAGGAACACCAGUGGCGAAGGCGACCACCUGGACUGAUACUGACUCUGUGGUGCGAAAGCGUGGGAGCAAAC
rnacentral:rRNA from 1 species